AGAGUUUGAUCAUGGCUCAGGACGAACGCUGGCGGCGUGCCUAAUACAUGCAAGUCGUACGCACUGGCCCAACUGAUUGAUGGUGCUUGCACCUGAUUGACGAUGGAUCACCAGUGAGUGGCGGACGGGUGAGUAACACGUAGGUAACCUGCCCCGG
rnacentral:rRNA from 1 species